rnacentral:rRNA from 1 species
UACAGAGGGUGCAAGCGUUGUUCGGAAUCAUUGGGCGUAAAGGGCGUGUAGGCGGUUUGUUAAGUCAUGUGUGAAAUCCCUCGGCUCAACCGGGGAACGACGCAUGAAACUGGCAAGCUAGAGUACCAAAGAGGGGGGUGGAAUUCCUGGUGUAGCGGUGAAAUGCGCAGAUAUCAGGAAGAACACCCGUGGCGAAGGCGGUUCUCUGGGACGGUACUGACGCUGAGACGCGAAAGCGUGGGAAGCAAACAGG